AACGAACGCUGGCGGCAUGCCUAACACAUGCAAGUCGAACGAGACCUUCGGGUCUAGUGGCGCACGGGUGCGUAACGCGUGGGAAUCUACCCUUGGGUUCGGAAUAACUCAGAGAAAUUUGAGCUAAUACCGGAUGAUGUCGCAAGACCAAAGAUUUAUCGCCCAAGGAUGAGCCCGCGUAGGAUUAGCUUGUUGGUGAGGUAAAAGCUCACCAAGGCGACGAUCCUUAGCUGGUCUGAGAGGAUGAUCAGCCACACUGGGACUGAGACACGGCCCAGACUCCUACGGGAGGCAGCAGUGGGGAAUAUUGGACAAUGGGCGAAAGCCUGAUCCAGCAAUGCCGCGUGAGUGAUGAAGGCCUUAGGGUUGUAAAGGCUCUUUUACCCGGGAUGAUAAUGACAGUACCGGGAGAAUAAGCCCCGGCUAACUCCGUGCCAGCAGCCGCGGUAAU
rnacentral:rRNA from 1 species